UGCAUCUGAUGGUGCCAUUAUGAAGAUGAACUGUUAACUAAAUUGCUUUGGUGGAAUAUGUAUGCUAGGGAAGAGAGCGUGCUGGCCCUUCUCAAAGUGUCCCAUGAAAAAGUUAUUCCACACCUCCUCCCUGACCUUGUCGUGCAGACGCUUCCAGGAUGAACUCCAACUCGCCGAGCCACCGCAGCUCCUCAGCUGACUAAAAGAGUUAAUGAUCCUCCAGGUUAAAACUCCUCCUUGAGCACACACCUUCUCUCAACAAAUGACAAUACUUGGCAAACUGAACUCCUCCCACGAGUCGCCCUCUGCUAGGAGGAAUUGCUGGCUGCUCCCUGCUUAUUGCAUUCUCUCAGAGCAGCUGUCUCAAAGGAGGCUGCUCCCAUGCCGAUCUUUUUGUGCCCAACUUACAGGGAAAGAACUCAUUGCCUGCCCAGUGCCUGCCAGCCUCAGACUUCUGACUGCAAAUCCAACAGGACAAUACAGAGUUGGCAGGACCCUUCUCAGGAGUGAGGAGCGGGUGCAAGAACUCCCAGGUCACUGCUUUAUUCAGAGGACCUAAGGAAUUGGGUUGAGCGGAAGCGCACAGAGCUGCAGAUUUUCUUUGAUGAAUGAAAGCUUCAAUCCACAGGUUUCUAAUAGUACUCUCAUUCAUUUUGCUUACAAAAGGUACAGAUUAUCACUAAUCCUCUUCAAAAGGUAUUUGUAAUCACAUUUCCUUGUAUAUGCAAAAAAAAUUCUAUUUAAAGUGUAUGUGAAAUUAAGUUUACUUUUUUGAAACACAUGUAGAAAAAGAACAAAGGUAUCAUCAAACUAGUCUAUGUAGUCUCCUUUCACUAAAAUAUUGAUGGUUCAACACUUAAGGAAGUCUAGAAAUAAAAUAUUCAAAUGAC
rnacentral:lncRNA from 1 species